UACGUAGGGUGCUAGAGUUGUCCGGAUUUACUGGGUGUUAAGGGUGCUCAGGUGGGUUUGUAAGUCAGAGGUGAAAUCCCAAAGCUUAACUUUGGUGCUGCCUUUGAUACUGCAAGUCUGGAGUUUGAGAGAGGGUAAUGGAAUAUCUGGUGUAGCAGUGAAAUGCGUAGAUAUCAGAUAGAACACCAAUGGCGAAGGCAGUUACCUGGCUCAAUACUGACGCUAAAGCACGAAAGUGUGGGGAGCAAACAGG
rnacentral:rRNA from 1 species